AAUAUUCGCGCGUUUGAGGCCACGCUCCAGUACUACCAACCAUUUACAGUUACGUCACCGUGAACAAGAACAAAGGACAACUUACUUUCCAAAUAAUCUUCGAGAUAAAGCAUUUUGAAGCAUGAUCCGCAGACCUCUAACUGAAAUAACUU